rnacentral:miRNA from 1 species
ACUCAUCAUCCAGCCAAUCAGCAGCAGACUCUCCCUCCCAGACCCUCCCAACUCCUGGACAGCUCACUAAGAAUGCAGCUUCAAAAUGGAUGCUGUCCAGGAGGUGGGAGGGUCUGGGAGGGAGGGUCUGCUGCUGAUUGGCUGGAAUGAAGAG